GGUGUGCGAGCCACAGAGAGGGGUCGCGUUUUGUGCGGUGAGUGAGUGUGAGGAGCGGUGGCGCAGCGGUUAGCGCUCCGCUACGAGUUCACUUCACCGCUGGGCAUCCCCAGUGCUGGAGAGACAAAGGCGGUCGGGCGUGCUUCUGGCUGCAUAGUGUUGUUGUUGCAUCACUUUUUGGGUUGUUGUGGCAGGUUUGUGCCAGGCUAGGUUCACCACGACCGCCAAUAUGGGGCCAAUCUUCUUGCUGCUCCUGAUGGUGGCAGCUCCAGAUGGAGAAGCUGGGAGAAUCAGCAAGAGAGCUGGAGAUGAGGUUCAGCAAGAAGUCUCCGUGGGCUCCCGGGCCGCCCACGCCUUCCUGCGGACCCGCCGCCAGGCCUGGGACCCCCAGGACCCCACGUUCUGGCGCC